rnacentral:rRNA from 1 species
UACCUAUAACAGGGGCAUAACACUGAGAAAUUGGUANUAAUUCCCCAUAAUAUUCGGAGAGGCAUCUCUCCGGGUUGAAAACUCCGGUGGUUAUAGAUGGACAUGCGUUGUAUUAGCUAGUUGGUGAGGUAACGGCUCACCAAGGCAACGAUACAUAGGGGGACUGAGAGGUUAACCCCCCACACUGGUACUGAGACACGGACUAGACUCCUACGGGAGGCAGCAGUGAGGAAUAUUGGUCAAUGGACGCAAGUCUGAACCAGCCAUGCCGCGUGCAGGAAGACGGCUCUAUGAGUUGUAAACUGCUUUUGUACGAGGGUAAACUCACCUACGUGUAGGUGACUGAAAGUAUCGUACGAAUAAGGAUCGGCUAACUCCGUGCCAGCAGCCGCGGUAAUACGGAGGAUUCAAGCGUUAUCCGGAUUUAUUGGGUUUAAAGGGUGCGUAGGCGGUUUGAUAAGUUAGAGGUGAAAUCCCGGGGCUUAACUCCGGAACUGCCUCUAAUACUGUUAGACUAGAGAGUAGUUGCGGUAGGCGGAAUGUAUGGUGUAGCGGUGAAAUGCUUAGAGAUCAUACAGAACACCGAUUGCGAAGGCAGCUUACCAAACUAUAUCUGACGUUGAGGCGCGAAAGCGUGGGGAGCAAACAGGAUUAGAUACCCUGGUAGUCCACGCAGUAAACGAUGAUAACUCGUUGUCGGCGAUACACAGUCGGUGACUAAGCGAAAGCGAUAAGUUAUCCACCUGGGGAGUACGUUCGCAAGAAUGCAACUCAAAGGAAUUGA